rnacentral:piRNA from 1 species
UGCCAAAGGAGAUCAAUGGACUGGGA